rnacentral:tRNA from 1 species
AUACUUAUAGUGUAAAUCAACACAUUAGAUUUUCGUUCUUAAGAUAUGAUACUCAUUCAUUAAGUAGG